UACAGAGGUCCCAAGCGUUGUUCGGAUUCACUGGGCGUAAAGGGUGCGUAGGUGGCGAGGUAAGUCGGAUGUGAAAGCUCGGAGCUCAACUCCGAAAUGGCAUUGGAAACUACCUUGCUCGAGGGUUGGAGGGGGGACUGGAAUGCUUGGUGUAGCAGUGAAAUGCGUAGAUAUCAAGCGGAGCACCAGUGGCGAAGGCGAGUCCCUGGACAACUCCUGACACUGAGGCACGAAAGCUAGGGGAGCAAACAGG
rnacentral:rRNA from 1 species